rnacentral:rRNA from 1 species
UACAGAGGAUGCAAGCGUUAUCCGGAAUGAUUGGGCGUAAAGCGUCUGUAGGUGGCUUUUUAAGUCCGCCGUCAAAUCCCAGGGCUCAACUCUGGACAGGCGGUGGAAACUACCAAGCUGGAGUUCGGCAGGGGAGACUGGAAUUCCUGGUGUAGCGGUGAAAUGCGCAGAUAUCAGGAGGAACACCGGUGGCGAAGGCGGGUCUCUGGGCCGAUACUGACGCUGAGGAGCGAAAGCGUGGGGAGCGAACAGG